GCAGCGCGGGGGCAACCCUGGCGCGAGCGGCGAACGGGUGAGUAAUGCAUCGGAACGUGUCCCGUAGUGGGGGAUAACGCCGCGAAAGCGGCGCUAAUACCCGCAUACGCUCUACGGAGGAAAGCAGGGGACCUGCAAGGGCCUUGUGCUAGGGGAGCGGCCGAUGUCCGAUUAGCUUGUUGGUGGGGUAACGGCCCACCAAGGCAACGAUCGGUAGCUGGUCUGAGAGGAUGAUCAGCCACACUGGGACUGAGACACGGCCCAGACUCCUACGGGAGGCAGCAGUGGGGAAUUUUGGACAAUGGGGGCAACCCUGAUCCAGCCAUGCCGCGUGCGGGAAGAAGGCCUUCGGGUUGUAAACCGCUUUUAGCCGGGACGAAAAGCCUACGGAUAACACCCGUGGGUUUUGACGGUACCGGCGGAAUAAGCACCGGCUAACUACGUGCCAGCAGCCGCGGUAAUACGUAGGGUGCGAGCGUUAAUCGGAAUUACUGGGCGUAAAGCGUGCGCAGGCGGUUCGUUGUGUCGGUGGUGAAAGCCCCGGGCUUAACCUGGGAAUGGCCAUGGAAACUGGCGAACUGGAGUGUGGCAGAGGGGGGUGGAAUUCCGCGUGUAGCAGUGAAAGGGGAGUUUGAUCCUGGCUCAGGGUCAGCUUAACGCGUGAAGUUGACCCGCCC
rnacentral:rRNA from 1 species